rnacentral:lncRNA from 1 species
AGAGCCGCGCACCAAGCCGAUGGCGGUGGACGCAGCAGGGCCCCGCGGUCUGAGUGCGGGCAGGCGCGCGUGGGCGUGUCUCCCUGGCCCACGCGUGUCCCCGGCAUCAGUGUCUCGGCUCUGGUCCAGGACGAAGACUUCUGAAAGCGAGCCAAGGAGAAUCACAGUUCUUAACGGAGCCCCUGACUGCCCGGUGGAAGGAGGUGAUUUAGAAGACAGUGAGUUGAUCUGGGGCAAAGUGAAGCAUCAGUAGCGCCUUCCAUCCCUUCACCUCACCUGGAUCUCUUCACUUCACUCCACGUCUGUCGUCUCCCAUGCAUGAAGCAACAUGGCCAAGUGAAGCUGCAACCAGUAAAGUGUAAGCCUCCCAAUAGAACAUUUCUUCCUGAGCCAACCUAUCAGUGCAGCUCUGGAAGCAAAUGACCUCUCCUGGCAGAGCCUUCACUGUGUGGGGAACAUCAGAUUUGUGUAAAGAAGCACAGGAUGUUUCUUGGCUUCAAACCAUUUGGAUAAGUGAUGGCAGCAAGCUUCGCCACUGUAAAGUCACCUCUUUGUAAGAAGACAGGAGCUCUUUGUAAAGAAUAUGAGACCUGAGGCUGGGGGAUGGCUGAGAAGGGAAAAGCACCUCUGCACAAGCGUGAGAAAAGGAGUUUGUUCUUCCACAUCCAUGUAGAAAUCUUGAUGCCGUGCCGUGAACCCCAGCUCUCCUACGGGAAGAUGGGAGGCGUAGACAGGAGUUCAUCUGGAAGCUUGAGGCCAGCCACCCAGAUCCUCAGAGCUGCAGACAAAAGAGAGGCCCUGCAGCAAAAGAGUGGAAGGUGAGAACCAACUCCGGAAAGUUGCCCUCUGACCUUUACAAGUGUAUACAUCCACACACAUACAAUAAAAUCAAUUGCUCAAUCACGUA